rnacentral:rRNA from 1 species
GAUGAACGCUGACAGAAUGCUUAACACAUGCAAGUCGAUGGGGAAGUGGUGCUUGCACCAUGGCAACCAUGGCGGACGGGUGAGUAACGCGUAAGGGACUUACCUGCAGGACUGGGUUAACAGGGGGAAACUCCUGACAAUACCGGAUAAUGUCAUUGAGCUGUAUGGCUUUAUGAUGAAAGGAGACGCCUGCGGAGAGCCUUGCGUCCUAUUAGCUAGUUGGUGAGGUAUUGGCUCACCAAGGCGGAGAUAGGUAGCCGGCCUGAGAGGGUGGACGGCCGCAAGGGGAGUGAGAUGCGGCCGUCAAAACUCCGAGGGGAGGCAGUGGGGAGUAUUGGAGAAUGGGGGCGAAAAUGAUCAAGCAAUGAUGUGGGGAGAAAGAAGGUUUUCGGAUGGAAAAAUAGUUUCAGCAGGAAAGAAGAAAAUGACGGUACCUGAAGAAGAAGCGACGGCUAAAUACGUG